UACAGAGGUGGCAAGCGUUGUUCGGAAUUACUGGGCGUAAAGGGCGCGUAGGCGGCCCGCCAAGUCCCGUGUGAAAUCCCCCGGCUCAACCGGGGAACGGCGCGGGAAACUAGCAGGCUUGAGUUCGGGAGAGGGAAGCGGAAUUCCGGGUGUAGCGGUGAAAUGCGCAGAUAUCCGGAGGAACACCGGUGGCGAAGGCGGCUUCCUGGACCGACACUGACGCUGAGGCGCGAAAGCUAGGGGAGCAAACGGG
rnacentral:rRNA from 1 species